CUUCUCACAGCAUUUUAGUAUGAGUAACGAUUAAAGACAAAAAACAUGUGGUUGAAGGCUCUAAUUAUAAUUCCGCUGGUAACUAUUCUGGCCCAUCGCAUUCCUGGUGCAGGUUCCUAACUACACUUUUGCCCGAAUUCAAGAUAUUUUGCCAAUACGCGGCGGCCACUUGCGGUGUGUGCCAGACGCUCAGCAAAACGGCAUGUCGUAGCGAAAACAGCUUUUCCGCAUGCUCGUCAGGUAAGCCCAAAUAAACACACAUAUAUUGGGGGAAUACCAAUUAGCAUUAUUUCACUUCCAGGAGUACCUCUUAACGAUAUACUCAACUGCCCGACAAAUUAUUUUUGCACCGAUGGCGAGUACACUUGCUAUGAAAAUGCUGAGCCGGUAUGCAAAGCAGAUAAAGCACCUACCACAACCACCACAAUGAUGCCUUGGACUGCAGACUGCGAGCAAGCCACCAAAUCUGGCUUUCAAAAAAACGAAAAUGAUCCCACGUGCACUUCGUAAGAACAUAAGUAUUCUGAAAAGGUUACCGCCGAAUGAAAACUAAAUCCCCCCACCUAUUCACAGUUUCUUGCAUUGUAAAGUCGCCGAGGACGGCACAUUAGAAAGCGCUUCAAUUUUGAAAUGCAAACCUAACCAAUACUUUGAUGUGUCCUUAAAUACAUGUACGGCCACAAAACCAGAUGGGUGUACGGCAGUGUCUACCGAACCAACUACGACAACUCAAAAACCUUGGAGCGCAGAGGAAACCUGUCUGGAUGUGACCAAGUCUGCAUCAUUUAAGAAUGAAGAUGAUCCCACAUGCGCCACGUAAGAAUAUUUUUUCCGAUUUUUGACAGUAGGUCCUAAACUAAAGUGGCUUUUUUCUUUCAGCUACCUCUAUUGUUAUGUGUCAAAUGGAGUAGCAACGGCGCUAAUCUAUACUUGUAAAGAAACAAAGCCAUACUUUGAUUCAACUUUAAAGGGCUGCAGUGCUAAGAAACCAGCCGAUUGUGCAUAAAAUUUAUAUUUAAUAUUUUUAAUUAUAUUUUGAGUUUGGGUAUUAAUUUA
rnacentral:lncRNA from 1 species